GAUGAAGAACGCAGCGAAAUGCGAUAAGUAAUGUGAAUUACAGAAUUCAGUGAAUCAUCGAAUCUUUGAACGCACAUUGCGCCCGCCAGUAUUCUGGCGGGCAUGCCUGUUCGAGCGUCAUUACAACCCUCAGGCCCCCGGGCCUGGCGUUGGGGAUCGGCGGAGCCCCCCGUGGGCACACGCCGUCCCCCAAAUGCAGUGGCGGUCCCGCCGCAGCUUCCAUCGCGUAGUAGCUAACACCUCGCGACUGGAGAGCGGCGCGGCCACGCCGUAAAACACCCAACUCUUCUGAAGUUGACCUCGAAUCAGGUAGGAAUACCCGCUGAACUUAAGCAUAUCAAUAAGCGGAGGA
rnacentral:misc_RNA from 1 species